AAUCAACGCUGGCGGCGUGCCUCAGACAUGCAAGUCGAAUGCGAAAGUUUCCUUCGGGAAGCGAGUAGAGUGGCGUCCGGGUGAGUAACACGUAGGUAAUCUACCUUUGGGUGGGGAAUAACAACCGGAAACGGUUGCUAAUACCGCAUAAUGCAGCGGCACCACAUGGUGACAGUUGUUAAAGCGGGGGAGUCGCAAGACCUCGCGCCU
rnacentral:rRNA from 1 species